rnacentral:rRNA from 1 species
UCCGGUUGAUCCUGCCGGACCUGACUGCUAUCGGAUUGAUACUAAGCCAUGCUAGUCUUUGUAGUAAUACAAGGCAUACGGCUCAGUAACGCGUAGUCAACCUACCCUAUGGACGGGGAUAAUCUCGGGAAACUGAGCAUAAUACCCGGCAGACCACUUAUCCUGGAAUGGUUAGUGGUUAAAAUGAUUCGUCGCCAUAGGAUGGGACUGCGGCCUAUCAGCUUGUUGGUGAGGUAAUGGCCCACCAAGGCGAUUACAGGUACGGGCUCUGAGAGGAGAGGCCCGGAGAUGGGUACUGAGACAAGGACCCAGGCCCUAUGGGGCGCAGCAGGCGAGAAAACUUUGCAAUGUGCGAAAGCACGACAAGGUUAAUCCGAGUGAUUUCUGCUAAAGGAAUCUUUUGUUAGUUCUAAAAAUACUAGUGAAUAAGGGGUGGGCAAGUUCUGGUGUCAGCCGCCGCGGUAAAACCAGCACCUCAAGUGGUCAGGAGGAUUAUUGGGCCUAAAGCAUCCGUAGCCUGUUCUAUAAGUUUGCGGUUAAAUCUAUACGCUCAACGUAUAGGCUGCCGUAAAUACUGUAGAACUAGGGAGUGGGAGAGGUAGACGGUACUCGAUAGGAAGGGGUAAAAUCCUUUGAUCUAUUGAUGACCACCUGUGGCGAAGGCGGUCUACCAGAACACGUUCGACGGUGAGGGAUGAAAGCUGGGGGAGCAAACCGGAUUAGAUACCCGGGUAGUCCCAGCUGUAAACGAUGCAGACUCGAUGAUGCAAUGGCAUAGAGCUAUUGCAGUAUCGCAGGGAAGCCGUUAAGUCUGCCGCCUGGGAAGUACGUACGCAAGUAUGAAACUUAAAGGAAUUGGCGGGGGAGCACCACAAGGGGUGAAGCCUGCGGUUCAAUUGGAUUCAACGCCGGA